rnacentral:rRNA from 1 species
GUAGUUAGCCGGGGCUUGCUCCUUGGCUACCGUCAUUUUGUUCGUCACCAAGAACAGAGGUUUACAAUCCGAAAACCUUCUUCCCUCACGCGGCGUUGCUGGGUCAGGCUUUCGCCCAUUGCCCAAUAUUCCCCACUGCUGCCUCCCGUAGGAGUCUGGACCGUUUCUCAGUUCCAGUGUGGCCGAUCAGCCUCUCAGCUCGGCUACCCAUCAUCGACUAGGUGGGCCAUUACCCCGCCUACUAUCUAAUGGGACGCGAACCCCUCUUACAGCGGAUUACUCCUUUGACCUCUCUGCCAUGCGGCAGUGUGGUCUUAUGCGGUAUUAGCAACGAUUUCUCGUUGUUAUCCCCCUCUGUAAGGCAGGUUGUUCACGCGUUACUCACCCGUCCGCCACUCGCUGUCGCCCCGAAGGGCUAAGCUCGUUCGACUUGCAUGUGUUAGGCACGCCGCCACGCGUUCGUCCUCGAGCCACGAAUACGAACCUACGA